GGAGCGAACGCUGGCGGCAGGCCUAAUACAUGCAAGUCGAGCGGCCACUUCGGUGGCAGCGGCGGACGGGUGAGUAACGCGUGGGAAUGUGCCCUUUGGUACGGAACAACUGAGGGAAACUUCAGCUAAUACCGUAUGUGCCCUUCGGGGGAAAGAUUUAUCGCCAUUGGAGCAGCCCGCGUUGGAUUAGCUAGUUGGUGGGGUAAAGCCCACCAAGGCGACGAUCCAUAGCUGGUCUGAGAGGAUGAUCAGCCACACUGGGACUGAGACACGGCCCAGACUCC
rnacentral:rRNA from 1 species